rnacentral:rRNA from 1 species
UUAGGGUUCGAUUCCGGAGAGGGAGCCUGAGAAACGGCUACCACAUCCAAGGAAGGCAGCAGGCGCGCAAAUUACCCAAUCCCGACACGGGGAGGUAGUGACAAUAAAUAACAAUACGGGGCUCUUUCGGGUCUCGUAAUUGGAAUGAGUACAAUUUAAAUCCCUUAACGAGGAACAAUUGGAGGGCAAGUCUGGUGCCAGCAGCCGCGGUAAUUCCAGCUCCAAUAGCGUAUAUUAAAGUUGUUGCAGUUAAAAAGCUCGUAGUUGAAUUUCGGGAUUGACACAUCGGUCGUGCCUUAAGGGGUAUGAACUGGUGUAGUCAAUUUCUCACCUUCUGGAGAACCGCGAUGCCCUUAAUUGGGUGUCACGGGGAACCAGGACCUUUACUUUGAAAAAAUUAGAGUGUUUAAAGCAGGCAUUUUGCUUGAAUACAUUAGCAUGGAAUAAUAAAAUAGGACGGCAUGAUUCUAUUUUGUUGGUUUCUAGGAUCACCGUAAUGAUUAAUAGGGAUAGUUGGGGGCAUUAGUAUUCAAUUGUCAGAGGUGAAAUUCUUGGAUUUAUUGAAGACUAACUACUGCGAAAGCAUUUGCCAAGGAUGUUUUCAUUAAUCAAGAACGAAAGUUAGGGGAUCGAAGACGAUCAGAUACCGUCGUAGUCUUAACCAUAAACUAUGCCGACUAGGAAUCAGACGAUGUUAAUUUUUUAAUGACUCGUUUGGCACCUUACG